CGGACCAGGAGUCAAAGAAAGCAAGUCUCGAGUUUCAGAAUGUCAAGUUACCCCCAGUGGCUAACUCCUAUUCUGACUACUGGACAUCCGCAUCUGUUACGCGUGAGUGUUGUUCCACCCAGAAACAAGAGCAUAGGAAAUGUGGCUAACGAGCGGAGGCUUAGAGACAGGAAUGGCAUGUUUCAAUAUAAGUAAGUAUUAGCAGACUGGCCCCUUGGGGGGCGUGGGAAGACUUUAGCUCAGGAGCCUAAGAGUGAAGAGCUACUAAGGUAGAGUUCGGUAAUAAGAUAAAGAUUCCAUGAUUUGUUGACUUUGCUUCAGCAUUAAGUCCGGUCAUUCUGCUGUUGACUUUCGAGCACUAGACUUGUUCUUGACCCAACCCCUGUUAGCACAAGGUCUUACGUCCUAUCUUGUUCCGAGUCAACUAAUACGGAAUAUACUUAAUCUCACCUAUCUCUGAAUAUAUUGAAUCUAACCUAUCCUCUCGCUAUUAGUGACCUAUCUCCUUCCUAUCCUUUUGGUUACAGAAAUAUAGCAUACCUAGCAAAUUCUUCUGCUUCAUCUGUUGCUUCCUUUGCUUUAAGAGAAUCUACUCACUCUUAUUCAGUAGAAGGAGCGGGAUAAGGAGAAUAAACUCAAUCUUCAGCAGCAAGAUAUGGGAAAGGGGAAAGUAUGGCUCUAGAUUCCUGUAUUGUUCCAAAGUAGCCAAGAAUGAGUGGGCGCCCCAGAGAUGAGGCAAUUGUUAGUUUCUUAACAUAAAAGGAGAGUCUCGGGUGCUUUACUUUACGUCGGUCGUAGAUAGAGGUAAGUUAUUGGCUUGGCGUCUUUAGAGAAAGAAGAGGUGGUUUAUUUGCUUUCCCUUCCCGAGUAGAGUAGUGGUCGUCUUUUUUCCCUUUGCUUAAAGAGUCAUGGAGUUGGCAAAAUAACAAGAAGCUAGGGAAUCAGCAAUCCCAAACCCUAACAACCAGAAUAAAACAAUGCCUAACACAAGAAGGAAACUACACUUUUCUAAGACUUCGAAUGGUAAUACAUAAUUGUACUGAGCAGUAUAGAAGAGGUGAAGAUUCAAUAAGGAAUGAACCUAAGUGGUCAAAGAAUGAGACAGGCAUAGGAUGAAACUAAGUCGUACAAUAAAGGUAUGAUCUGUUGGCGCAUAAGACAGAGUAGCGGUAUGGAUAACAAGGGCAGCUUUAGAUGGUGAGCUGCUAAUAGGGAUUGCACUGAUAGGAGCAAAGAUCGAAUCACUGCCAACAAGAGCAGCACUAAUGGCAAACAGGCCUCGAACUCAAAAGAGAGAAUCCAACUAACAACCAGGGAUGAUUGAACUCCCGGCAGUAAAAGAGUUCGGUUUAGAAGGAAGAGUUGAGCUCGGCAGUCCGAGAAUGCACUGACCCCUAUAUAUUGAAUAAGAAUAAGCUCGGAACUACACAAGUACUAUUAUACUGAAACUAUCAAGCAGGAAUCAAACUAUGACAUUAAUAAUGGAACCACGUCUAACAAGGCUCUUCUCCUAGGCGGGUAACCGGAUCUCGUAAGAAAGCCUAAUGCCAACAAGACCAUAGCUCUUACACGCGAAUCAAACUAAUAACUAUUAGAAUCCACUACUAAUGGAAAGAAUCGAACCCUACCAAACAAGACUGAACUAAGUGCUUCUCAUAAUCUAACUAUACCCCGGCAUUCCCUAUCCAUUGCAUUCAACUGAAACAGCUUUCCUUGCAUUUGUAUUCUUGCUUCCUUUCUCAAAUAUUCUCUUAUAAUAUCUUAAUAGUAUCAAAUUCCCCCCUUCUCUCAAAGACAACAACUAGUGCUGACAAGACUUACCUAUUAACUAGUAAAUCCACUGCCACUAACCAGACUGGAGCUACUAAUAUAUCCGGAUUAAAGACAGAAGUCAGUAUACCGGUCCCCAAUACAAGACACAAAAUAUGAAAUAUAGAAUCGAAUUGGGACUAGUGCUGAUAAGAAAACAACUACAGUAAUAGGAGAAUGCAUUUUCAUAUACAAUAAUUGGUUCAAGGGUCAAAUAAUAGUAAUUGUAAUAUAGUAGUUGGAGAAUAGGAUGGAGCAAUGGGAGGCUUAAUGGCAGUAAGGGCAGACUCAGAGUAUAGAGAACAUAAGAUUGAGGUUCCGUAGUGGUCCACUUAAGCUCAGAAGCAAGUAAGUAAGUAAGUCAGCGAAGUUUUCAAUCAAUAAAGGGAAUGUCUUGUAAGGGUGUGUGGCCAAUAUGUCGUAGUAUCAGUCCUGUCAGUCCUAGUUCCAUUCUACUAAUGGUAGGAUUCGAUUCCUCUGCUCUGGUGUCAGUUCCUAUAGUGAGUAGCUCCAUUACCGGUUUCCUGCUAAAGUAUUAGAGGUGAAGUAGCAAGUAAGACAUAUAAGAAGGUGGAAUCAACAGAUACAGAUUGGAUAUCAGUAGCGGAAGAGACGAAGGCGAAAUACACAUAACUUAAGUCAUAGGUAUAAGCCCUAUGACGAGCUAAAGAAUCAAAGGCUGAGUUAAUAGACUUCAUCGCGGGGGAAUUAUGCUAAGUCGUUUUUUUAUGAGUAAGUAAAUGGAAGAACUAAGGGUGACAGGAGCGAAUACAAGAGUGGAAGAGCUAGCUAGUAAUCUAGUCCUGCUAGUAUAGAGCAGCCAUAAUUGGAUAAGGGAGUUUACAGGCGGAUCUGCAUAAUGAAGCUAAUGAGCAAGGCUUUAAUCAAAAGUCAUAUAGGAGUCAAGGGUACGAAGCAGUCUUGUCAGUAGCAGCUCAAUUACAUCGACCCUGUUGCUUAUUUCAAUCUUAUAGGCCAGGGGCACGACGCAAUUCUUUAUUCCUUAUUGAGUUUUCUCGUUUCAGUAGCGGUAGGCCGAUACACUAGGGAAUAAGGCUGGGCUACCGGGGUGGCAGCUAAGGCUUUUGGCAGUAACAGUUAGUUCUCAAUCAAAUAGUAUCGGACUUAUCGUUAAGAGCGGGGGGCUCCCUUUGUUGUGGGAGAUUUUAGGCACUGAGGCCAGUAGUCGCAUACUUCAGCUAUAACAUGGGAGUCAAAGGAUAAAGCCUACUACUUCAAACAAAGAGAGGCAAGCGAAAGGGCAGGGGUCUCCGUUUUCUAGCAAAGAUGCCAGGAGCAAGUAUAAGUUAGUGGGAGCAAACACCGACUUCAAGCAGGAGAAGUCUGGUUCAAGUAACGAGUAAGGAUGUAAGGAACAAUAUGUGCAAUCACAGACAGGAGAUAUAGGUUUAGAUAAAGUGAAGCAAGGUAAGCGUCAGCUGCUGGGCUGGCAGCAGUGAAGCCUUAGUCCCUGGGCAUAAAUAUCCAAUGUUGUAGGUUUCUCUACAAGGGUAGUAGUGCAUUCCAAUAUUAGUAUAGUUUAGGCAAAUAACCAGUAAAGACAGAGUGAAAGACGAGGUCAGGAGACUUGGAUUCGUAUUAGUCAGAAUAGAAGCCGGUAGCUAUGUACUGAAAACUAAGAUAAGUAGAAUCAAAGACAGUGCAGUAGGAAUAGGAGCCAUGGGAAGCCGCUUUGAGGUAAGUAAAGGAAGCCUUGUUAUCUGUAGCGAAAGUCCUAUUUUCGUAUUAAAGCCUUUAUUCUGAGUUUGAUUCUGGUUGGCCAUAGUUGGUUUCCCUAUUUGCUGUUCGAUUGCUAGUUCCGAAAUUCUUAUUGGUAUGAGUUGGAUUGCCAGUUAUAGUAGUUCUGGUCUGUUUGCCAGGAGCUCCAAUCUAGUAAGUUGUACGUCUAAUUGCAUUAUUGUAUUGCCUGGGUCGACUCCUUAUUAUAAGUCAAAGGAUUAGCAUAAGUCACAUUAUUGUACUUAGUAGUUGCAGAACGAAAGAAAGGUAUGCCAGGCUACAAGCAAAGAGUGGGGUUUAGAGUCAAGAUCACCCAUAUAUCUCUUAUACUUGCUAUACUCAGGUUGGUUUUUAGAAACAGCAGUGAAAGUCUUUCUUGUUUGUCAAUGACUUAGAGCUAUGCCCGGUACCCUUAUGACUUAUAAGCUUAUACUUACCUGUUCGGUUCUUAUGUUGACUCUCCUAUUAUUCUCUGACUUUUACGCGUAUUCCUAUAAGUUUCUUACUGAUGCUUACUACUAUUAGUAUAUUACUAGAUACGCUAGCCCCGUACGCUACUACCUACUAUUAAGAUAAAGGAUUGAUGCGUAAGGGAAUCGAACUACUCAAACAAAGCCAAGCUGCUAAGUAAGACUAUGUGCUUAUAGUCCAAGCCAGCCUUAUACCCUGCAUUACCCAAGCCUGACUUUUGAUACUCAAACUUUGACCUGUUCCUUCUAUUCCAAAGGAGAAUACUGACUUGCUUACUUAGUGCCCACUCUAUUCAAACUAACUAUCCUGUCUUUCGGCCUUGCUUUCCUGCCUAUUAUUCUGUGAUUGGUGCUAUGGUGUUAUUUACUUAUAUUGAUAAUACGAUCCAGCACACAUGGCAAUAGAACCUAACUACUGCCCCACUACAGCACUACAAGGGAAUAUGAAUAUACUCCUACUAUGGAAUACUACUAUCGCCGUUGCUUGGCCCUUGCUUUACUGGUACCUAAGCCGACUUUCCCUUCUUUGAUUCUUGCUUCACUAUACCUCAUUCCGAAACUGCAUACUCGCUUUCCAUAACACUGGGAGAUGAUCCUGACUUUGACUCUUGCUCUCGAGUUAGAACCUUACUUUCCCUAUCACUAGACUGGAGUUAGAGCCCGAUUUCGAUACUUUAUAUCAUAAUAAAGAAAUCGAAGGCACACUGACGCUACACUCUUCCGAUCUAACAUCUUGAUUUCCGUCCUCGGUUUUACCUUACCUCUAUGAGUAUUAGUAUUCUGACUUUCAAGUGAACUUCUUAUAUACCCUAUUUGAGGAGUGAGUCCUGACUUCUGUGUCUCAUUCCGAUGCUUACUACUACAAAAGAGAAUAGAAAUAGCUGCUUUGGGACCUGGUUUCGAGUUGGAUUAUGAGAAGAGGUAGUCCCAUUCCGAUUAGCAGUAUUUGGUCCUAAGCGAGACUAUAGACGCAAGUAGGGCAUUCCGAGAAGCAGGUCAGCCUUACCAUAUACUAGUCAAUUCUCUUUCCACAUUCUAUUGUGGUAUGGGGGUUCUUCGAAGUAGUAGUUACAAACAACAGUCUUGAUAUCAGUGGGAUUAGUAUUUGGUAGUUCGCAGAGAGCAAAGAGAUAAUAAAAGAAACAAGUUAGAAUGCGCCAGUAGCUACAGUAUUAGAAGUCACAGUUUCAUUACCUGCUUUGAGUCAAAUUACUAGUUCUUUGCUUCAUUCCCAUCAGUAGCAGCCUUAUUCCUAUUUCUUCUAUUUAGUAGUUUCAUUAACUGGUUUUAUUGCAAAUCCUAUUAGUAGUAGCGAAAGUCUAAUAUCAGUAAGAGCUUAAGUCUAAUAUCAAGAGAUCAGGUAACUCAUUCCGGGUAGAAGAGUAAGUCACAGGGUAAGAUGUAGCACAGUAGAGCAAAGAAACUCCGCUAUUAGAGGAGAAUCAAAAGAGUCGUUAUGAGAAUCCCACUACCGCUUCAAAACCUGCCUCCCUUUCCGCUAAUUCUGACUUAUAGUUUCUCACUCCCUUCUUCAAUGUCUAGUUCCAAGUCUAAGUCCUAUUUCCGAGUUGAGUUCCUUUGGCUCUCGUUUAGUCUUGUUAGCACUUGUUUCGUUCUUUCCAUGGCCCAGUACUAGGCAGGUGUCCAACAAAGAAGGAAGGAUCCAAUUCACUAGUACGAGAAUAAAGGACAAGCUAAUAGGCAGCAGUGUUAGGUUGAAAGCAAAGAUAUAUCGUUUGAGAUCAAGUCAAGUCAGAUUUGUAGGCGGGAAAGACAUACUCAAACAAAUAGGCAGGGCAGACUAAACAAGUUAACGCAACUUCCUUAUCACUAGAUUGGAUUCUAUUGCUUAUACACGCUAUAUCGUAUUCUCACUUGGGGUAAGCAAUGUCAGGCGGAAGGACAGCUUUGAAGCAAGUAGUAAAAGAACGGUUGCCACUAGUUCCACUAUGAGGAACAGAAGCUUAACCAUUAUGUUAAGGUGAGGUAUGUGCCGGCCCUAGUUGAGUUCUUGUACUGCUUUGUAUGAUUCCUAGUUGAUACUUUGAUUCUGACUUGAGAGUUUAGGUCGUUAGUGCACUGUUUAGGUAUUCCACUACAGAAGUCGGGAUACUAUGAAAACUACAGUUAAUAUAAGAUAAGUUAAUUAAUGGUUGCAUUAUGGUUGCAUUAUUAUAAGAACACGGGAUACUUAAUUGAAUAAUGAAAAGCAGUAAAGGCAUACUCAAACCAAUAGGGAGGAGCGCGCUAGUAACUUCAGUAUGGAAAUCAGGAUAGUCAGAAUUUAGGACAGCAAGGUGGGGCUAAAGGACAUUAUUGGUAGGCUUCCUCUCUUGCACAGGGGUUGUUGUGUUUGUUGAGUUGCUUGGUGGCAAGUCAGAUUUGAUAUCCUGAGUUAAUGGACAGUAAGUAAGGUUUGAGACCCAUAGUGGCAUGCCAAUAGGUGAACUAAAGAUUGGAUUGAGGUCCAGUAAAGCAAGUCCUGUCGGUACUAGUUUCAUUAUCUGGGUUGAGUUAAAGCAUUGUUAGGCGCAUAGGGUUAAGAAAUGAGAAGUAUGACUUAUUUGUUUCAUCCUUUCCAGUAGUAGAUCGAUUCUAUUCCCCUGUAUACGCUAUAGCAUCUCGGACCUAUUACAUCGGCUAAAGAGUAAGAGGAAGCAGUGCCGGAGUGAGAAAAGGGUAGUUCAGAUCCGAGGUAAGUAAAGUAAGGUGCUAAGAGCGAGUAUUACAAGAAUUCAAACCUUUAGCUCUAGUCUUUAAAGUGGUGGUUUGGAUUCCGAAACACACUGCCGCUACACUCUUCCCCAUUAACUUAUAUUGUAUAUUAACUUCUAUUGGAUUAAAGUAAGCAUCUAAGUUAGCAAGUAAGACUUCAAGAAAGGAGUAUAAGUUUCAAAGUCUGAGUUGAUAGUAAUCGUAUUAAUAGUUAGAAUAUUCUAAGAAGUGCAAUUCUGAGUAACAACCCUAGUAAGCCAGCCUUACUGCCUACCCUCUAAUGGGCAAAGCCUUUAUCUCAUUUCCACCAACAGGACUGAAGCUUACUCAAAAGCAAGAACACUUGAAGGCUGGAGUGGAAGCAGCUUAGGGAGUUAUAAGAAAACAGCUCCAACAUAGGAAUUGAGUGAGUCAGAUCCUAUUCUCAGACUUACCAGUGGAAUUCCAACUUCCUACCUCGCUGCCCAAUCUCAUACUACUUAGCCGGGCUGCUCCUACAACUUAGCUGCCUUAGCUGGGCUUCUCUCUGAAACUCCUGACUUUAGGCUCUUAGCACCUUGUUUUCAUUCUCUAUUUUCUGGUUUGGAUUCUCUCUUUUCAUCAUGAAAUAGAGAAAUAAGAAUGAGCUCGUGGAUGGAUUGGUUCUACCUUUCAGAAUGCGUUCGUGGUCGUGAUGCGCGAACCUUGAAGAACGAGUGAAUGAACGCUCACAGAAUAGGUGAAGCUACUUUCGAGUCCUGGAACGAACAAAGAAAAGACUGACCACCGAUAAAAGGAUUCAUUAUAUAUCUUAGGUCCGCUCACUGAAUGAUUGGGCAAAUAGUAGCUCUAUGUUGGGUAUGUUUCAUAUGAAUUAGUUAACGAUGGUCCUACUAUGAAUAAGAGAUGAUCCACUACGAACGAGGACCGAUCAAAUAAUCUGUUAUGUUAUUAAAAGAAUGGAUGUUACGUUAAGGAAUGAGCGACAUAAUACAGAGAAUAGGAGACAGGGUAGUAGGAAGUAGUUACAGCCCGAGAAGCGCUAGUCCAAUUCAGGUAUUAAUGGGAAAAGUGCUCAUUUCACUCCUGCUAGGCGUUGUUCUCAUCCCUAUCAGUAGUAGUUGGGAUCUAAUAGUACUUACUUGAAUUCAUGGUUUUGAGUUCGAUUCGUUAUUGUAAGAUAAAGUAAUAUAAUGAAUGGGGUGUCGAGUUCAAUUAACUAAUAAGUAAGGUUUGGCGGCUAUACGUUACUUGGCUGCUCUUAUACUGGUUAAUUGCAUUCCCUUUACUACACCUAGAUCUGAAACAACACCUCUCUCGUUCUAACUACUGGGCUGGGCGGGCUACCAUUCUUUCAUUAAUGAUCCGGAUCUUCACUUGCUCGACUUGAACUUAUGCUAAUACUAAGUGAUUUUGUAUUCUGAUUAUUUAGUAUAGGUUGUACUACUAUAGUCAAUAAAACACUUUUAGCAGGUAGUAGCGGACUAACAAUCAGACAUAGGAUCCGUACACCGAGUUCAAUCUACUAGGGUAGUAGUCAAUUCCGAGUUUUGAGUCUUAUUCUGAGUUAUGAGUGCAAAGCCUUAUCGGUAUUGGUUCCACUCUUGCUCUAGCACAAGUUUCCGUCUGAGAAGCAGUAGUGACCGUCUGUAUUUCCAACUUCAAUGUCCCGUUAUCCUGACUUCUUUCUUAGUUGCUUGGCGCUGACUUGGUGGUUUCAUUGGCAUCCUACCCUGACUUGAUGGUUUGACCAAUACUACUUACUGAGUGGAAUUGUGACUUUAUGGUUUCAUUAUGACUUGAGAGUUGCUGCCUUAUAGUGAGUAGCUCCAAUCUUAUAGUUAGUAGCUGGGUGCGCUGCUGGAUCGUAACCAUAUUAUCUAUUUAGACUUGUUUGCACACCUCUUCUUAUAAGUCGUCUGAUGAUGCCCUAGAGCAGAUUCCCUAUUAGACUUACCUCGCCAACGAGCAAUUUGACUCAUUGAUAUCAGAACUCCACCCGGCAUUAAAAGGCAGAAUCACUACCCAGCAGUCCAAGCCUCAUUGAUCGUAUAGAGGAAAAAGCCCUACUAAUUAGCUCCCAAGCUAUUAUAUCAGAGAAUUACCUAUUGAAAUACUAUGUUAUAUUAUAUAAGAGAAUGCUUUAACAGGCAGUAGAGCACGUAUAGGGCCGACACCAACUAACAAGCGUAGCUAACGAGCAGAAGCCUACAGCGCAGAAGCAAUAAUGCAAGUAAGUAUCCAAAUCGGUAUUCAGAGAAUUCGUUCUGAUAAUCAACUCCCUACCGCUCCACUCUUUCGAUUCAUUAGCAAAAUAAGGUCAAAAGCAUAGAGUGUUUUAUCACUUUUGGAUUAGUGUUUCUGCUUUUUUGUAUCAAUUUCGUGGGCUCUUAGCACCUUGAUUUGAGGCUGUUUGUAUGGGUGAGAUAGCCUAUGUCCGGUGAGAUAGCCUAUGCCCAGGGUACUACCUUCUUUCUAUGAUGCCCGGGGACGGAGUUUAUGACCGUGAUGCGCGAACGAACGAACAAUUCACGAGGUAUACCCGAAUGUGCGAUGACCAAUAGAACCACACCAUCCACUGACUUACUUAUGUUUUACUUGAAGACUAUGUAGUGCUCCUUAAAGAAUGAGUCCCCGGCGAAGGAUCUAUAUGUUUUUGUGUCUCGCGUAGAGGCUCCGGUGUGUUUGCCCGGCUUCAGUCUUAUCCCCCUUGAUCAGUAUUCUUCUAGUUAAGUUCGUUGCUACCUAUGUGCUAUUGACAUUGCUACCUAUGUGCUAUAUUGUAUUGAUACUAACUAUGUUACUAUGUAUUGAUUACUCUGUAUUGAUACUAACUAUGUGUUUCAACAGCUAUUCCUCACUACUAACUAUGUGUUUCAACAGCUAUUCAUCACUUUCGGGCUUAAGCUCUUGUUCUAUUCUUUGACUCUUCGAUCUCAAGCUGACUCCGCUUGCUGUCAAGUAAAAUACUAUUCUAGACCCCCGAUACUAAAGAGCCUAUUUCUUAUGAUGGGUAGCUCAUUCCCCGAUGCGCCAGCUUAGACUUCCCUUACUUCCUUUUAUACUUACUUGCCCGGCUGUAACUCUUAAGACUCGCACAGAAGAAUCCGUAUAUAUCUAUGGGAUAUCAAACGAGAAACCUGAAAAGGGAAUUGUGAACCAUUGCUUACCAGGCUCUAACUAAGAAAUAGGAAAUCCACUGCUGCUAACAAGGCUGCUGCGCCUAACUAUUAUUCUAAUUAACCCGCCGAUAAGUCUGCCAACACUCCAAAACCCUCACUUGAAUCUUACUGUACAUCCUUGCUUCUUUGGGUGAAACUUAUACCGCUACUAAGAAUAGUUGAACUAGUGCACAAACACCACAGUGAGAAUCAAAACAAGUAAUAAGGGUUGUAGCUGUUAUUACUGCUUCUGUCGAAUCGGGACGGAACUAGUGACAACAAAACGGAUAUCUCACAUUGAACUUACUUACGGAAAAGAAUUACUACCUACACGAUAAGACUUGCUCCACCGUCUUUGAUUCUAGGACUACUGAUUCGGAUACUUGCUUCUAUACCGGAGUCUGCCCAGGGCCCUUACUACAAUGUCUUUGAUUAUUAUUGGUACUUUGACCUUCCACUAAUGCCAAGUUAGCCUGCUCCUACUGACACCGAACCUUGCUUUACUAUAACAUAGCCUCUAUCUCCUUGCUACCAGCCUACCUCUCUUUGCUUCCAAACUCCAACUAAUGUAACUAAGCCAUACUGACUUGCCUAUAAGCCUGACUUUCCUAGGGCACACCCUCUACUUGUAACUAAGAGCCUAGCUUUCCACAAGUAUCAUUCAGCGGCGGGGGUUAGAAAGAAAGUUCUGUUCGAGUGUUUGUUGCGGUAAGAGAAGAAGCGGGCCGGGCCCACAGGACGGUUGUAUGCUCUAGCUCCAGAAAGUAUUAACAGAUAGAAUAGAGUAAGAUGACUCCUCUCCGUAAGCAUAAGUAAAAGAAUACAGAAUUCAUUGAAUCAGCUCGCUAACAACUAGACGCAUGAACAAGUGGUAGAUUCCCAGAAGCCCUUUAUCGAGUGGAGUGAGAAGUUGAAGACUUAUAUGAUUCUCAACAAGCAGCAGGAACAAGCAACGGUGAGCUAACGAGAGACGGGAAAGGAGUUGUGGAAAAUAGGAUGGAAUAUACAAGGCGCUAAAGUGAUAUUUCCAUUGAUGAGUUGCGAGAGAAGAUCAGAUGAGUUGCGAGAGAAGAUCAAUUGGGUGGGUAGCCUCAAACUUGACUUCUGCAAACUUAGUUCUUUGUUGAAAGUUUCGUUCGAGCAAAGGUCUCUGUCUGUUAAGGAAGUUAGUUGCGCUAAGGAGUUUGCUAGAGUUCCAUAAGCUGUUUUGCACGCUAAUACAGACGGGAUCGGGUGCUCAUCUUAGUUCUUAAAGAGUAAAGGUUACUCAUUUCUAUUGUAGGUGCACUUAGAUAUGAUUUAGAGGAGAAGCAGUUAGGAGUAUUAGCUCUUUUUGUAGUUGCAAGAGAGAUCAAUUCAUUCUGUACUUGUUACUAACGGAAAGAUGGUUUCCAUUCCUGCGAGUGACGGUUACGCUAACGAGGGAGUUUACGCAACAAGUCCGGAUUCUCUUUCUGCAUAAUAAGGAUCAUAACAAGAAACAGGAGAAAGUCAGUCAGCAGUGCCAAAGUAAGAUGAAGCAGAAUCCGUUUCAUAAGCUUGAUCUAAAGAAUCCGCUGGAGCAGGAAAGUCUCUAGGUGUUGUCGACGAAGGCAGGAAGGAAAUCUAGGGGUGUAGUUCCGGAAGUCGCCAAUAGAGAAAGAAGUGCCUUAACAACUAACUAGCAUCCUCCUCUGGGCAUCUAUUAAGAGCGUAUUCGUAGCUAACAACCUAUUCCACUAUAUGCAACAUAUUAUGUAACAAUAACAGCGCUAAUAUAGUCAAAUGGGCAUCUUCGAUUUCCUGGUAUUCCUAGUAUUCCUAACAAAGGGGCUACACGGCCAGAAAUCAAUCCUUAAAACAACCCGAGGCAAUUUGGAUUGUGAAAGCGGAGUUUCGCCCUGAGCAAUGAAGAUAGGGAACUUGCCCAUUACAAUAGCAUGAAACCAAAAGCAUACGCUUUGUUCUGACGAAGACUAACCGGGAAGUAUGGUUUGCAAGGAGGUAUACUGGCAGAGCAGGAAGAUAGGCGUCGUGGGAAGCGGCUAUAACUUCUCCUCCUUCGUUGCAGGUAAGGCUAUUGAUAAGGCUAGUAGAAUACCUUAUUGAAGCGGAUAAAGCUCAAUGAAGAUUAGAAACUCAUGGUAGCUCAGGAGUCAGAAAAGGUAUUAACGAAGCGUGCUUUAGGAAGUGUUCGAAAGACGACCUAAACCACAAGAUGACGAUGAGAACAAGGUUGGAUCUCUACUUAUGGAAUAGAGGAUUACGAAACCAGUCCUUAAGCAAGUCCCAAGAACGAGGUGCCUAGCAAGAUAGCCCAGAAAGGCCUACAACCAGAGCCAAGUAGACGGAUCUCGUAGCAGGGACCAAUCAAACUAAGGGGAACCAAUCAGUCCCAGUCCAAGCAGAGCUCGGUGAUUAGACUAUGGGAUUGCUCCUUAUACGGUCUAGCGAGUUAGACUCGUGCUGAAGCAUAAAGAAUAAAGCGGAGUUCACUAGACCCCGGUCGUAGGCCGGACGUAGCCAUUCGCUCUAAUAGGAUCGUUUUUGCAGACGGCUUUCUCAAUCGUGCCCCGAAGCGGCAGUGAAGAGUGCAUCCUUUUCUUCAUACGUGGGUACGAUUCCGUACGCUAUCAGUCCAGUACCAUUAGCUCUCCAAGGGUAGCAAUCCAUUCUUUCCAUGGAAGGAAAGGAGGCAAAACAGUACGUAUGCGUGUUAGACUAUUCCCAUUCCCGUCUAUGGUAUUCCCAUGCCCUUCUAUGGUAUUGGUAUUAUUCUAUGGUAUUGGUAUUGAAGAAAUGAUAUUAUUCUAUAAAUACAGAAAUGAUAUUAUUCUAUAAAUACAGAAAUGAUCUUAUUCUAUACGAGGGCUUCUUCAGGGGUAAUCAAUCUUUUGACUUACUUAUAUAUGUAUAUAGAAUCUUUUGACUUACUUAUAUAUGUAUAUAUAAGUGUGCCAAAGGGUGAAACGGGUACAACUCCUCUAUGCAAAGGGUCAAACUCUUCUAUGUCUGGUUCUUUCCUUUUUCUGUCAAAAUAUAUCCCUUGUAGCUCUUAAUGCCAUUAAGAUUUCUGUACCUGUUGGAGAUUGCAGAUGUAAUGCUUGGGUGACGUCUUUCUCUAAAGUCAAAGGAGCGAUAAGACUGUUUCCUCUCUGGCGGCUAUAGGAGAAGGUGCUGAAAGCCUGUCUAAAGCAUGUAUCUGGUAGGUACUCAUUAAGUGAGGGAGAAGGUGCGUAGCCGCUGUUAUGUUAGGAAAAAGACGCUAGUGAACUCGUUUUUUUAAGAGGUAUUUGGAUUUUGGACAUUUCUUUCUUGAUGCGAAUCAUAGGACCCCGUACGUAAUAGAAUCAAAAGAUCUUGCUUGUGACCCUAAAGCGAAAGGUCAAAAGAGUGUGAGGGGCGAAAAUCCAUUCAAGUCAAUACAGUAACUGGUUUCAAAUAGGCCUUGAACUACAUAGGGUCUUGAUACUCGCUUUCUUGAAAAGAGGGAUUAGAGUGUUUUAGGCAUCAGCCGUUCAGAAGUCGCGGUUUGUUCGAUUGCAACGGGUCAAAGAACGAGUCAAAGAAUCAAUUUGUAGUGUAUACUGGCAAUAUCUCCCUUGUAACUUAAGGGGAGCCGCUCCAAGCCGAGAUAGCUAAUCAAGAAAUUGCCCACGCUCAUCAAAUUCUUCCAGGGACAGGGAUAUAGUUUUGACCUUCGGGGAAGAACUCUGUGGGACCCGACCCCUCCUUCUAGGGCGCCUAGAUAGUGAAAGGUUUGCAACGCAGGAAACGGCGCAAAGUCAACGAAGAGCUGGCUGACUACGCUGGAGCCCAGGAAAGAUGUCAACAUGGGAGUUGGUUAAUAAAGAUAGACCGUAAGCAGGUUUGGUCUCGGUUGUUCCGGUUCCAGUUAUAAGACUUGAGUUCCUCCUUUUCUCUUGUCAUUUGGAUUCCUUGGUUUUCUUACUCGUGCCAUACUUCCUAUUCCAAGUGGCUUGCUUUUGUAGCUAUAAGGCGGUGGGGAAUUGAGAUUUUCUGGUUUCGACCUCGAGACGGGAUAGAAGCUAUACCGAAUAGGUAAGCAGGGAAAGUAUGAGCCGCACUAAAUGAUAUGUUGGAGAAUGAAUGAGCUGACCACCUUAUGAGUAAGUCCGCUUCUAAUCGUGCAUGAAAAUAAGGCUAUCUGAUCCGUGAAUGAUGUCAAGUUAAACCCAUACUUUAAGAUGUCAAGUGAAACCUAUACUUUCAUUAAGUAAACUAACCAUAAAGCUGGCAAAUCCAAGUACCUAUGUUCUAAACAAUAGCUUGUGUAAUCUGACCGGAACAAGGCGGAUCCCCUGGGGCACUUUCAUUAUGGAACUUUUCGUUAGUACUCAAAAUGGUGAUCACAUUCAGAAAACCUUGUGACUUGCAAAACUUAUCCAUCCGAAGCUAAGGUUGUAUAAGCAAAAAGGAUUUCAUAAGCGAGAAGAUCAGACUCGGCGUAACGUCUUCGUAUUGAUUGAAACCAACAUGGCUAGCUCCAACGAGCACAAGGAAUUGAGCAAAGCAAAUAUAGUAGCAUUAUCACAAGUAUAUGUAUUUCGCUUGGAAAGAAUCCUCUAAGACCGGAACAACCUUUCUUGCUAAACGUCCUCAUUUGCCAUUGGAUCCAUUUGACCAACCCAACAAACCGUAUAAGAUUGGACUUUGCUUUGAAUAAAAAGAGAGGAAGCGAAGCUUAAGCAACUUGAACCUUAGGAGGCAACUGAUUCCAAAGUAGAUCCGGCUCCCUAGCAAGCUUUAGUCUUCCUUGAUACUUCGGAGGCGGGGAGAAUACUCAUUAUUUGUUUCUAUCCGUUUUUUGACUUUCCUCUAUAGCUUGGGGAGGAAGUCUGGUAAGGUGUAAAGUACAAAAGCAGAAAUAGAAUGGUUUCAUUGUUUAAGCCAAGCUAAGAAUCAGAAAUCUCACUUUGGACAUUGAGUUGGAACAUGACGAAGCAGAAAGGAGGAGUGUGAGACCUAGCGUAGGUAUUCGUAUGUUGUAAGGGUUCGCCUCUUGAGGAAGCCCCAGCUUAUUAAGAAAAGUGAGUAGGGAGAUGAAGCUAGGAUAAGUGAUCUGGAAGUCUUCCGUUCGGGUCUUCUCCAGUGGGUGGGAUAAGGGAAAUAGGCGCAAAGAGUCGUGCUUCUUAGCGAGGAAGCAAGUGAAUGGUCGUCUUUUGAAAGCUUGGAGCUAGACUUAUUCUUCCUGACUCGAUUCCAAGUUUCAUCACACUAAGCCAGAGCCAAACUAGAGUUGGUACGUGGAAGCAAUGUAACCAACGGAACUAGCUGUCUCGGAUCUUUGAAUAGACAGAGAGAGAUGAUCUUACUGCGGCCCAAGAGCGUAUUCGUUCAAAGAGCUAGCAAUUACUUUCUUCCCACCCGGAAAUCGUAGUAGGAGAAAGACAUUCAUAUAUUACCCAGGCACGGGAUAAAGGGAAAGAUGGAGCCGAGAGCCGGGAACACAAUCGAAAGACCCUCAACGGGGAUUCUCUUACUACCUAGACUACCUAAGCAAAUGAGACUUCAUUAACUACCUAAGCAAAUGAGACUUCAUUAGUUCAUUACUAUAGCUUGUUCUGUCGUUAUAUAAGUGAUUACUGAUAAGAACGAUGGUUAUUACUAUAUCUUGAUCUUGCCUUAUUAAUGUAUGAAUCAGAGUGAAUAGUGCAUAAUCCAGCGAAUCAACUGCCUUUCUAGGAAGAGUUAAUCCCGAAAGAAAGGGAAUUCAGUCCUCCUAGUUCAAUCCUUCUCUUGCCUUACUUCCAUAGUAAUCUCACUUCUAUAGUAAUCAGACUUCUAUAGUAAUGAAUUGCAUGGGAAAGGAAAGCCGGAUCUUGAAGCUAGGAUGCUUUUCUAACUAACGCUUCAAAAGAAGCCUACGGUGGGUAGUUUGGCCAGAGGCCCCCUUGCUUCUAACGUUCUGCACCUUCUAACAUAAAUCCCAGAUGUGGAAUUGUCUUAUAUCAGAUGUGGAAUUGUCUUAUAGCUUUUUAUUCGUUCAUUCCUGCGAAUCCAUCUCGUCUGGUACCUCGCGGGAAUUGUCCAGCCUGAACCCUCAUUCGAUAAGAGGACAUUCGAUAAGAAAGAGGAAGCCGCCCUAAACCAUCUCUCCAAGAGAACCUAGGAUCCUUAUUUGGACGCUGGGGCACGUGGAUAACCUCAAUCCUCAAGAAACCGCGAAUCAACGAGUACCGCUCAUAACGGUGAUAUUGUAGGUUCGAAGACCUACUAAGCCUACCACCCCUUUCUCUUCACCCGAUACAAGAAGGGCCCACCACCCCUUUCUCUUCACCCGAUACAAGAAGGCAGUCGAAGUCCCCUCCACUCUGCAUUUUUUGGGAAGACAUCGCGUUUCUCGUCGAUUUCCCUCAUUGCACUGUCCCAUUAAUGCUACGAAGUGAAGCAGGCAUAGCUAUAGGUUUGUCUCUAUGCCUGUGAUCUUUCAUCAACCACGGCUCGGUAUCGGUAGUCUCCGUCUUUCCCUGGUAUGAGUUGAGAGUUGCAGAGUGAGUCUUAUUCUACUCUAGGCUCACUCCACUCCCUGCGUUGUCUUAUUUCCUGAGGGACUAGAUUUUCUUUCAAUCCCUGACUCUGUCUUUUGGCUAACGCCUAUAGUUCUCUCCUCACUAACAGAAGUCUCUUAGUAAGUAGCAUCCGCUCUGAAGGGGGUAAAGCCUAAGUAUGGAGUAUUCUAGGGCACGGGCACACCUUACCUGCCUCCAACCCUCAAGAUCCGCGGACGACGCCUUCUUCCGAAAGUCCUCUCUCUUUGCUUUGACCCGAAUGCAAAAUAUCCGUAUCCGAGGGUCUUGCUUUGUACCAUAUAGAUAGGAGGGCCUAUCAAGCCGCUUAGUAGUCUAUUGUAAGCAAAGUAUGCCCUACAUGUCAACACAGGGUAGAAGUCAAAAGCAUCGAAGAUUAGUACUGAGUACAUGGAAGCACCAAUGAAUAAAGUCAAGAGUUCAGAUAGAACCUUCUCGACAGAAGAAAGAUUGUGGAAGAAUCAUAAAUAAGCAGCCUCUUUAUCUCACCGGUGACAUCGGCGAAAGAAAUAAGGCUACCGCGGGUAGAGAUCGACCCUGGGGCCUCCAUCAACACCACUGCGGGCCCUAGCCGCCUAUCUUUGAAUGAAUUCCUAGGAGCCUUCAUACCAAGGUAACCAUUCGGGGGUACAAUGCCGACUCGCAAAGAGCCAUCGGCAAGAUUCGUCUCAAGUGCCAAACAUGUGAUCUGAAGACGAAGGUCACUUCUUACGUGAUUGAUGUGACACCUCCUAAACUUCCUACUUGGAUCCAAUGGUACCUUACAAACCCUUCAUCAAUGCUUCAAAUACGUUGAUGAGAAGGGUAUUUGCCGACCCCCUUUCUUUCGAGUCUAGUGUCUGUACGGAUGCGCGUCUUUACAACGACCCUCAGACAGUGAUGGAUGACGAAAGCCCGCCAGCGAAAGCCGAAGCACAGGUUCUCCGAAUCCCAAACAGAAAGCUAAGGGAGUUACGGGAAACGCUAUCUCAAAGAGCAUUACCCUGUUCAAUCUCUAAAGAGUGGCUUUGGGAAUGACUUCCACUCUCGGUAAAGAUGCCACUUCCAGCAUUACUGGAACCUUAUAAGGCGGAGGACCCUAAUAGAGCGACAUUCGUCCUCUCAAUAUUGGGUUUGCUUCCUCAUCUUUCACAGGGUAGCCCAGAAGUCUUAUUCUAUAUGCUGGAAAGAAUCGGUCACGUAUGGAGAAAUCGAAAGUACAGUCCUUUUGCAAAGAAGCGAAGGACAUGGGCUAUGCCCUUGAGGUCGGGCUGAAGUUAAGAACGGUCGAGGCAGAAAAGUACCCCCACAGCCGCUAAGUAAAGAAGAAAGGGAAGUAGUAUAAAGCUGCUCAGCUCCCACAUUGCAUAGACUCGACUUACUAAGCUUGAAAGAGAACCGGUGUAGAGAGGAACCCGGUGCUUUUCCCCACUUCCGAUCCCUUGAGUGAAUCCAGACCAUAUAGUCAGUAAGUAUAUAGUAAGAAGUCAGUAAGUAUAUAGUAAGUAAGUCAGUAUAGGGUCAAUAAAUCCCAUCCUCAUUGUGUCGGCUCUAAGGAUUUAUGUAGGGACAUCAGAAGUAAAGGCCUCUCCCCCACUGAAAGAACUAGUAAAGCGAUCAGUCUCUCUUCCUAUUUCCCCAUUACCGAUGUUUCAUUUAUAAGAAAAUGCUUGAUCUGGCAAUGGUUGAGGCUUGAGCUUACUUUCACAUUUUCCAUUAUUUCAUUCAAAGCGCUUGAGUACUUGUUUAAAAGCAAGUAAGGAAAGAUCCGAUCAUUAGGUAAAGAAUAUGAAAACAAGGAUUAGUAGACUAAGCAAGGUUAACUACAGACUUUAUGGCAGUAGCGAUAGGCUGAGGGAAGAAAAGAGAGUUAGAGUGGAGGUAAGGCGAUAUAGACUAAAAGCAAGUCAAGCGAGGAUCCGGUUCUUAGGAGUAUAAGAGUAUGGUUUGGGAGUAAGGCUGGCCUACUUUCAAGUUCAUUCUUACAGGCACAGGGUGAAUUCUAAUGCUGACUUGUGCAAUUCUGGUGGAGUAGGUAGUCGUUUUGUUCUCAUGGAGUAGCCCGGGUUCCGCAACUCGCAAACAAGAUUAGGUGCACAGGGGAGGCAGGCUCAAACAAACAAGUAAGAAGGAGCUAAAUCAGUAGAUACAGAGAGCGAGGGGGGAAGAACGAAGCUGACAAGUAAGGCUUGGGUAGCGAUGUAGGUCGGAGAGAAAUAAUAAGUAAGAUAAGGAUAACACUUAGGAGCAAGACAAGAAUCCAGUGCGGGGGUUGGUUUCAAAUAAGAAAGUAGAAGAGCUGGUGCCGAUAUUCAAGAAAGUAGAAGAGCUGGUGCCGAUAUUAUAAUGAAGUAUGAAUAGGGUUUAGUGUAGCUAGAUUCCAUUCCAUAAGUGAGGGGCGCUGAAGAACCAAUAUUUCCUAUAAGUUGACGGCUGUAACCCAUAUUUCUAUAAGUAAACACCCUCUGUGAAACUCUGAAAAUACUUAUUUGACUAACUAAUAUACUGAUCGAGUUUGCUUUGCUUUUCGCUCCGUUAGCGCAACUCACUACGUUACUUGUUGUGUCAGCUGUUUGUUUACUUGAUUUUAGUCAGCAGGGAAGUGACUAUAUUCUAUUAGUUGCAUGCUAGAUUCCAUUCUCCAAGUAGUUGUCAAAUGUCGCAAUAUCUGUUUGCUAGCAAUGCUAUUAGUUGACUAUUAUCCAUAUGUGUAACACUUCCCAUUCAAUAAGUAUCAGAAUAGAUAGCAAGGGCCAUAAGGCUUUCACACCUGAUUGAGUCGAGUCUACUAACCUAUGUUCAACUCGUAUUCUGGCUAAGGUUAAAGAACUUGAACUCUAUGACAAGGAGUGGCGAGCAGGACAAUCUGUUGGCGUACACUCCAUUAUGACUUUCAAUUCAUCAUCUAUCUCUUAUACUCUUAUUACUGGAUUCCAUACAAGACACCCUUCUUAUUUGCUUCUACUCAUAGCAACGGCCUUUACCCUCUGGAAACUUCACCUUGUAGUGGCGCAUUCGGCUUGGCUUACUCAUACGAUAAAACAAGAACGGAAUUAGUAACGAAGGAUAGGAGAUAGUUAUGGAAUUGCAAAGUGAGCGUCUUCAAUACGAGUUCCAGUUCGCUAUGUAGGCUACGUUGAAAUAUGUGAUUAGUAACAAUCAGAAACAGUUUCCAGAGCUGGGGAUCUAAUGAAGUAUCUUGAGUUGGAACAGAAGAUCGGAUUGCCCCCAAAACGCUUCAUCUUUCUUUCGGUCAACAAAUACAGAUCCGUCUUGCGCAGGCAGAGUAGAAAAUCCAUAUUACUGAUGUGCCAUAUAAGAGAGGAAAAGAACAGAGCACUGCAAACUCCACUUAGUCUUGUUUAGCGUCUAAGCUUUUGACUAACUGAUCUGAUGCGCGGAAUUUCCAUAUUACUUAUUUAUGUUCUAUACCAGAGGAAUUGAAACCCCUGUAAACUCCCGUUAACACAACAAAGAAUGUCAGAACAGAGGAAUCUCUCGGCUUCUUUCUAUAAACAACGAGAAAAGUCGAACUGGGCUAACAGCUUCUUUUCAAGCAACUGGAUACUCCUCCUUACCUAUAUCCUUUCCCUAAACUAAUACUUGGUUCCUUCCUUCUAAACUAAUACUUGGUUUGUAUUCUUUUCUCUCUUAUCCUACUCUGGAUAUAGCGAAAGCAUCGGAUAUGGUUCCCACUCUUUCCCCCGAUACGUAUAAAGCAUCAGAUCUUGUUCCUGCUCUAUCUUCUGCUCUAGACUGUUUUUCUCUAUCUCUGGUAUCGCCAACAAAAAGAGAGACCCUAGUAUGCCCUUUUGCAUCGCGGGUAAACUACUCCAAUGGAAAAUAGAUCAUUGAAUACCACUUACAGCUGUUCAAGUGCAUUGACGCCGAAUCACUUCCACCCUUGCCUUGACUUGUGAAUCCAUCCGCCGUAUUCAGUCUUUAACCGAUACGAGUUCUAUAAGAGAAGCCCUUGCUUUGGGUGCUCAAGUCAUCCGUGUUGUCGACUCUUGAAUCAGAACAGUUGAUUUGCGCUUUAACCACUACGUGGGCAGUAUGGAUGAGCAUUCCAUUCUCUAUUUCUAUAGGAUCAAAGUAGGCUACAAUGCAUUCAAAUAAUUCCGAAACAAGAACUUCGACAACACAAGAACGGAAAUAGACUCAUAUUCAGUAGACUACGUAAACCCCUCUGGAUUUAUGGUCUUUCACUCUUUCACUUGCGCCAACAAACACAUUAACUUCAUUUGAAUUCUUCUAUUGAUAAAGCUUCUUUUGAAAAGUAAGGAAAGGAAGCAGCAAGUGAUGAAGCGGGAAGCUGGAUUCGCUGAAUUUUCCAUUAGGUCUGUAUUGAUUGCUCUAGCCUCGGGAACACAUCAAACAAGAAAGAAGGAUUCCCCUAAGCGUCGGUUAAGGCCUGGCACUGCCUGCUGUAGUUUGACUCUUAUACUUACGGGCUCAAGUGUUAACCAAUAGGAGUCGUUUUAGUUUCAACGUUUACAAGCACUCUAUCUAGCCGGCAUCCAAUAGAGAGAAAUGCAAUUACCACCUCACUUUUAAGCCUGAUAGCGGACAGUGUUCAAAUAUCCAAGCACUACCCAAGGUUGCCCAGCUACUCCCAUUUCCAUAUCCCUCAGUCCCCAGUCCCUCUUAACCUUUCCGUAGGAGAAUUCGACCCGUACACCACGGUGUGUGUGGUGAGUAAGCCCAAUCAAUUCCUCUGUUUUUCGUUAACUUUGAAUUCAUUAGCUUUUUUCCCAUAGUGAAUUCCAACUUAAACAUCCUUUGAUCCCAGCUAAUCAAAAGACGGCCCCUAGAGAGUUACUAGAAUUCUCAAGGGAAUCCAAACCGGGAAAAAGCCUGUUCCUAAUGCCGAGUUAUCAGCACGGACUCUCGUCUCCAAUAGGCCCAGAAAACCAAUGCUGUGCUUCGACCCAGUUCCCUUCACUGAGUCUUUUUCUCUUAUAGUUAUUCCUUUAUACGUAUGAAAUUUCACCAUACCAUGUUAUUGGAAUUUCUUUUAAGCGAAGAACUCUUACCAAAACUUGACUGUCGCGCUUUGAGUCAUCCAAAUCCCCAGCAUGAAUCUUGAACUCUAGUUAUCUCAGCUACGGUAGAACAAUAAUUAUGGAAGUAAGCAAGCAGUAAUGGAGUCCUAUAGAAUCUAGUCCCUUCUCUUUCAGGAAUAGGGGCGGUUUCAUCUUCCUCCGCAAAAAGAAAGGAAAAGAAAGAAUGAGAGACUUUAUAGCAAUGGGUUCCUCCUAAGCGAAGAAGGCUGUAAGCAAGGUAGGAAAGAGACUUCUUAGAGAAAUCCUAACUGUUAGAAAUAGCAAGAGUCAUCCCUCUCUGAAACCUCAUGUUUUAGGAAAGUAUUUAUUGAUUUAUUGAUUUUGAGCUUAGUUACUAUUUGGCUUCGUAGCCGUCCAUUUCAAUCUACCAACUGACUUUAGAAAACCCCUUAUUUCCUCAAAGAACCUAAGCAGGUAAUAGAUAGGAAAGAAGGAUUCUAUUAUCGUCGACGGACACAUAAAGUUGGCCUCCUUGCGGCUUUCAAAGCUACACUGACUUCCUUCUCGAAAAGCUGGAUUGGAUGCAGUGUUAAGCGCUUUCCCAUCUUUCCAUUCUUUUAUGAAAAACCUUAUGUAUGAAAAAGCAGAAUUCCUCCCAACACUCUUGGAACAUUCCCGUCUUGCUUGACUCGAGUUCUAGUUUUCUUAUAUGCUCCUAAUUCGAACACUUUCUGAACUUCCGCUCGCUUCCGACUUGCUUGCUACUAUCGUCUUAUAAGACAGACGUGUUUUGUUGACAUUGGUAGCUAUGCUUAGGUAGCUAUGCUUAGCGUCGACAUAUAUAUAUAUUCUAUAUUCUAACUUCAUCUCAUUGAUUUUGGAAAGAAACGUGAAACCACGGGAAAACAAGCAAAGGAAACAACACAAACGGCAAACUCAUUCCAUAUAUAAGGAAAAAAGUCCCAAUAUCCCAUAAUCCAAGGACAGUGACAUUUCUUUCUUGCCUUCUUUCGUCACAUGUCUCUCUGGUACUAAUCAUUCUUUCCUUUCUGUCUGGUACUUACUAAUCAUUCUUUCCAUUCCGCGCCAUUCCGCGGGAAAAUAGCGAAUGUUCGGAUUGCUUUCUUAGUGUGGCAUCCGCUGUCCACUGGUGAUAUUUCAUAUAUAAUAGAAUCCAGAGCUUAUAAGAAAAUCCAAUCGAGUCGCUUGCGGGCAUUGGCAAAUCCAAUCGAGUCGCUUGCGGGCAUUGAUCCUUGCUGGUCCUUCUUUGGCUACGUGAGAAUGGGAAGGAGUCAAUCAUCGAGUGACUGGCUAACUCUCCUCUUACGUGUUUUAGUUUCCUUGUUUUUCGAGAAAAGGUCCUAUUCUUCAAUUCAUGAUUGUGUCGACCAGGCCAGAUCAUGAGAGAUACGCAGCGCAGAUAUAAACACCAUGAACCUUUUUUCUUCUACUCUUCUUUUUCUUUGGAGUGUGAUUUUCUACGUGGGAUUGUAGUUUCUUGUUUGCUUAGAUUUAGAGCUCCGGCUGAUGAAAUUCGAAUCUCUUAUUCUUGGUCUUGGAAUAGGACUCAAUUUUGGAUUACAAAGGGUCGGGUGGGAAGUAGGUCUGUCUCUUUUUGUCGCUCGUUUUAGUUUGCUCUGCUUAAUCCAGAAGGCGCACCCACUCUAGGUAACAUGAUGUUUCUUUACUGUGAUUUGACUUCGAGCCCGCCCCGCCUCAUCACCCGUACCAUGCCAUUAUACCUAUCGUCGUAGAAUCAGUGUUCCUAGGAAAGAUUCUGGUUCUCGGGUAUCCAAUUAAUUCAUCCCUCCAGGUAGGUUGACUAUGGUCAGUGCAGUUUCACUAAUCUUUUCAUUAGAUAAGGAACAGUUGCCACCAAGAAUGUGUCCUCUGGCGUUGGGGACCCCAUCCUCGGCUUGGGCAGGGGAGUCAAUAGAAACCUCCGUGAGUUUUUCAUCUUUCUUGGGUUAUAUGAUUUUGGUUCCCAUAGAGAACGCCACCUCGUUUGAACAACGCUUACGCAGGAGCACAGAGGUCGUUCUUUCCAACUUUGACGUACUAAAUGGGAUGCUCCGCUUUUUGGAUGGGGCUACCAGCGAAGUCGAUGCAACUGGUAUAAGAAGGAAGACAGUGUGGGCUGCGAAACUCAAUGAGUUCCUCGUUGCGCGGCAGGGCAGCUAGUUCGCCAUUCCACGAGUUCCGCUCGGUAAACCCUCAAAUCCAAGCAGGGUGGACUCGCUCCUAUUGUCUUAGUGAUUGUGUACCAUACUGUAAAUCCCACAAACAAAUAGAGACUUUCAUGGCAUCUGUGCGCAUCAAGGAAGUAAUCAAUUCUCUCGUAUUCAUAUAACUGGGACCCUUCCAAUGAUAGAAUCCCUCGUUUAUGCACGGUUACGUAAUGUAACGGCUAUCGUCUACUAUACUUUGUGCUAUUCUAUCAACGUUAGUAGUCUCAAAAAGAAACAAACCAUCCCUAUAUUUAUUUGUGACAAUUGUACCCGCUAUUAUAAGAACUAAGCAUGGUAUACGAUUUCGAAUAAGACUCGUGUAAGAUAUGCACCCAGACUCCGUAGGCUUGCUCCGAAGCUUGUUUCGGCUCUCCCCGCUAUCUCGUUUAGAAAUACCCUUACUCUCUAGAAUGAUCACCUAUAAUAUCGUCAAGGAGAUUCUCCGCCGGGUUAGCCCUUAAUUGAGCCCCCCACACCAACCAGUGAGUGCGAAAAUGCUCCAGGAGCGGCAAUACCCCAGAGGCUGACCUAGGGUUUUAUAAACAAGCCCGUCGCUGCUUAGCGUGAUGCUCUCAGAGCUCAUAAACGCGUGCAGGCCUCCUCGAUCCUGAUACAUCCACUAGGCUUAUGCGGCCGAGUUCCUAAUCCGCGUAUACUGAGCAAAUUGCCCAAAUCUCAUUCGAUGAUCGUGACCUUUUGUUAAAUACGAAAAAACACAACGUUGCACUAAGAUAUGCAGAAAACAUAUAUCAACUGCAUUCUGGUCGAUCCUGGUAAGCACUCUCACAAAAGUAGGGCACACUGUACAACUUCAAAUGUUCUGAUUCAAGGGUUCCAUCAAAACAGUCCGGCGUCGUCGAAGCUCUAAAGUACUCGCAGUGACGGUAGCUUCCUCUGAUGGCCUAGUCCCAUUUUUCUUCCCCCUGGACAGUUAGUUUGAAUCACUUUUCGGUCCUGUGUGUUUAGGUUCUGGAAGCUUCUUUCCUCCCUCAUUUGAUUCAGGGCAGGGGUUUCUUUUUCUUUUGGGAAGAAUAGGGGGUUUCCUCAUCAUAAUCAGAGUCUGGGACUGCAUCAAUUCUCCCACAUAACUCAAUGAGAAUCGGACGGUCAUCAUCAUUACGAGGGACGCCAUCCUUCUGACAUAAACUCGUCUAGCAUUACGGGUGUGCUUCUUAACGUACUCAUCCCUUAGCUCUUUUAUGAGCUCUUCGAGAGUAAUGAAAGGCAUAGGCUGUUGAGAAACCCUUAUACUUGGGAGCUUUCUUUUGUUUUAGUAUAAGUAUUGGGAAGAGGCACCAACUUAAUGGUCCAUUUAGACACCUGGGAAGGAUGUAUCUUCUUCUUUUCGCUCGCCUUGCGCUUGGUACACACGGUCCACCCUUCUUCAUUGUCUUCCUCAUCGGAAUAAGAGAGUCAGAUUCAUAGAGAUCAAAGAGCGAAGGGAGUGGAUACUUUGGAUCUUCCUCCAGAGUCACUGUUUCUGUCAUCGGGAUUCAAGCAGAUUUGAGGCGUGAGCACAUGUACGACAGAAGAAGGCGCAGGAGUAGUUCAAUCCGUUUCAGGAUUCAUUUAUCUCCCAUCGAAGCGGACUUCUAAAAUCAAUAAUAAGUCAAUAAUAAGAUACGAUUAUUGAGAAAUCUCUAUGAGUAGAGGAGUGGAACCUCUUGUCUCUACGAUAUAGAGUGAAUUAAGGAGGGGACUCAUUCUGGGGCAUAGAGUCACCGGGGUAGGGAUAGGACUCGACUACAGCUUGGUCCCUUAUUCGAUCCGGCCAAUGAAAUAAACGAAUUGUUGUUCAUCGAACAAGCACCAUUGGUCGAGCACUUGGACAGAGGGGCCUCCCAACUGCAGGCUCUGGUGGGAGAACGGUAUACAUUGCCUGCUGCCCCAUCCCAAUAAGACGUGUAUAUAAACAACCCGUGCACGCGUGGGCUCUCCUUUUAGGUAGCUUCCCGGAUCCACAAAAGUCACCAAGUUUUCGUUGGUCGUAUGAUUGAUGAUUGCUCGCUUUCCUACCUUCACGGCUAGUUUCCGAAGGAACCUGUGUGUCUUUACCAACUCGCCCGGUGAGCGCUCACGACUAAGCUCUACUCGGAUGCUGUCUCGAAAGGUGCAGGAGGUGAUGAACACAGGAAAGACUUCUACUGGUGCUACUGAUGCUAGGGCCAAGCAACUACUAGUGUUUUCUGAAUUGCUCCAUCUCAAUACAAAAGGUACUUCUUUUACAUGGACUAAUGGAAAGGGGUACUCAUGGUCAUGUGGAACAGCGUCUAGAUCGGGUGCUUUGUUCUGAGCAAUGUGUUGGAUGUUUGGAAUUCUUUCUACAGUCCCUCGGCAUCACUCGGACCACACUCCUCUUUUAGUUUCAGCAGUUAUACAAAGAAACAAACUUAGAGGUCUUUAUCAACCUUGAACAUUUCCAUUCAAUGUGGCUUUCUCAUGCAUACUUCAUGAACACGGUUCUUCAUUCUUUUGACUCUAACUCCUUUUUCGGUUCCAAAAUGUUGAUUCUUGCUAGUAUACUUCAAUCUAUGAAACAUAUGCUUCAAUCUAUAAGCGUCGGAUCGGUUUCACGUCUAUUGAUAUUAGCAAUUUCGCAUUGGAUUUCUUGGAAUCCCAUAUCUAUUGGUCAUCUAGAUAGGUUAUUAAGCUAGUACCUUAUUUGGAAUCUCCGGACAGUAUGGAAAUGAAAACCACUAUGUCAGUCAAUAGCCUAGUUCUAUUCUUCCAAGGCCUGCUUUAGUGAAUGAUACAGUAUAGUCUCCCACUUACUCCUAAUUGCUCAUUCCUAUUCUGUAACUCUCCAAAAAGAAAGAGGUUAUUGCCCAUCUUCCAUCAACUCUGUGAAAUUGGCUUGACGAGAGAGAUGUCUCACUAAUAUAUUGAGAAUUGUUAUUGCGGUAACUUGGUAUCGUCAUAGCUACAUCCAGGGAAAUGACUUGGUAUCGUCAUAGCUACAUCCAGGGAAAUUCGGCGGCGAGAACCCUAGAAUCUUCCACGUCACUCGGCGGCAUUUAUAACUAAAUCCAAUUCGGCCUCCUUGUCCUACUUAACCUGUAUUCCGACUUCUGCUUGAGUGAGCCUCUCGGGGAUGAAUUAGUAAGCUUGCCCUGGUGGGCUUGUACUUUUCUCAAGAAAGAAUCAAUUUCUAGGGUGGCCUAUUCAAUCCUCUGUUCUCUGGCACUAGUAGUUUCUUAUGCAGAGCAUUCCUCGCCUCUUAUGCCUGUCCAGUACAAAGCCCAAAUAACACUGUUUUCUUGAGCGUUAGACGACAAGAGUUCCAAUAUCUUUCUUCUAUACUUCAUUUCAUUCCCCAACUCACUCGCCGGCCAUCCGGGCGGAAGCCUUACUCUCAUAAGUGAAGUCCCCAGCGUCCCCUCUCUUUCAAGCGUGAAUAGACGCGGAUCUGUCUCUGAUAUCCUGUGAAUAGCCAAAUAAAAGCUUAGACAAAAGGUUAGCAUGACAAUAAGCUGAGACCUACCAUGAACAACUAUAGUGGGAAGGCAGCUUAUGAACGAGACAAAAGGAGGAGACCGAAGAUAAGUUAGGGAAAGGAAUAGGGAGUUGUAAUUUGGAAGAGGUGCGUAACUCUAGUUGGAGCAGCUUGAAUUUCUGGAUAACAAACAGGGUCUAUGAUGAUUUUGGUAAGGUGGGAUAACGUUCCUAUGAUGAUUUUGGUAAGAUCUAUCUUUCAAAGAGUUAGCAGUCGAAAAGGGAGGAAGAACUUUAUCAACCAAUGGUUUCUUACAUUACUCCUCUAUUUAUCUGAUAUGAUAGAAACCUCUCAUACUUUCCAAAGUUCUAUUGUUUGUUCCGGGUUAAGCACUUGGAUUCCGCUUAACAGAUCCCAUACUUUGAUCGGUAACUCCUCGACAGAAUCACCCGGGGAAGACUUAUGUAAUGCGCCUUAAACCAUCUUCUAUAAGCGUAUCUAGUACCUCCCUAAUUACCAAUCCUGAGCUAGUAAGUCAAAGUAAUCCAAUCCCCAUUUCUAGUGGAAUAGAGGUUCGAGGACCCGAACUAACUUAAGAGGAAAGCUGCUUUCCAAGUGCUAGGCGGCUUAGGCAGUGUAUCGGAUCUUCGGGCAACCAACCAGUUUAUAUGUAUGCCCAAACGAGGAAAUCGAUCUUAGCAUAGUGGCUCUUUUGAUUUACACUUGAAGAUUCUAUUCCACAACUAGCUAAACCUACGGGCAGAAGAAAUAUAUCUUACUCGCUUUGAAGCGGGAACGAAAGAAAGAAUCCAAUCCAAACUCAUCAAAUAGAGAAAGGGCGAAUCACUUACAAAAAAGAACAACGAUAGAAGGAAGCGAAGAAAAGAAAAGAAAAUCAGAGAGAGUCCAGUCCAACCACUCCUAUUACUUGCAAUCGUUUUUGGGGUUUGAGGCUUGAUUCUGGUAGUAGCCCGACCCUUGCUAUUAGUCUAAAGCGCUCAGAGGAGGAUCCCGGCCUACCAUGGUAUGUGUUGAUCCCUUGGGGCAGUUAGCAUCUCCUAGUUAGAGCCAGUCGAACCCACUAGCGAUCAAAUACAAACCAAGAGAUAGAUGAAUUGGGGAAACCUCUCAGACUCCCUAGACUGUUACGGAAUUGAAACGAUCAUGAAAGCCUGAGCCCACAGGACCAAUAGCUAUAGGGAACCCAUAAGGUGCCUUUUCCUUUUAGCUUGGACUCACCCCUGCCACGUUAUGCACUUUCGCUUUUCUCGUUUACUAUAAAGCAUCCUCAGAGAAGGAGGGAUCUGUUAAGGCCGGUUGUCCAAUCAACGGCAGCUAAGAACACUUAUUCGAGCGAGACCCAUAGGUUUGAGUUAUAACCUAGAAGUCAAUCAUUUGCUUCAUUAGUUCCAAUAGUCAGUAGGUAGCAAAAACGAGUAACGGCUUGCAGAACAGAACUCCGUAAGCGCAACCAAUUACUGUAGUGACUUGUCGACUUGUUUAUUCGUUGCUUGUUCCCCUGCUUGCUUGUUCCAUUACUUGUUAGCUUACUUCUACUUUGCUUGUGCCUUAGUGAGAAAGCCCUAUAGCGUAAGUGAGUUUAUGGCAUUUGGGAGUUAUGAAUCUAAUGUCAAUUCUUUGUUUACCGAACACAGGCUAUGAAGAUAGGUAGCAGAACACUAAGCCUACAGCUAUUUGUCAAGUAUCUCGUUGCCAUUCACAUUCCAUAAGUCAGUUUCGCAGUAAGAGUUAAGCAAGAGCAAACAAGCAGUGGCGUAGCAGAAUAGUUUCUGAUCGUAUUUGAGUUUCGCAGUUAGAGUGAUGCAAGCAAACAAGCAGUGAGGUAGUAGCACAAUAGUCGUUUCUGAGCGUCGUGUUGGGAAUCAAAUCAUCAAGUACUGGCUCCGCUCUACCUAUUACAGCUGAUGCUGAUGCUAACUCGGGAAAUUCCGCAACUAAAGACAUCUCUAAACAAGCAGCAGGAACAAGUUGGAGAGUUUACCCCGAGGCGAGAGAUGGAAAGAAAGUCAGAGUUGAAGCUUACUCCAUUCUAUACCCGGUGCUCUAUAAUAAAUGCAAGCUUAAUGUGCUCUAUAAUAAAUGCAAGCUUAAUAUUAGUGCUUUGAAGCGGGAACAAGAUCUGAAUAAGUUAUGGUUUUGUCUCCGAUAUCAGAGGUUAUUGAUGGAGCAGAAACUGGUACAGCGGGAGAAUAAGCUAGAUAAGAAGCUAUAUCAAGUCAGUAAGCAGGUUUUGUUUCAUCCCAGUCGACUUUGAUCCUACCUAUAGAAAAAGAGAAUAUGGAAUGCUCAUCUGCUGAAGCGUUAGCGAGCCUACCCUUUAGCAAGUCCUGUCUUCGGGAGGCUGCUAGACCUCACGUCAGCUAAUUAGGGGUGCUGGAGCUUUGACUUCUCCUUAGGCGCCGGGCAACGGGCACAGGAAAUAGACUCACGAUAUAAGAACGAACUCCAGCCUAACCUCAAUCUACAGUAAAGGCAGGAGUGUUUUUAUUAUGAAGAAGGUGACUUAAACGCAAUAACAGUGCCGAUAUUAGCUAUAGUUAAGAGAAGUGACUUUUAUAAGAUGUGCAUUUCUUCUUAAAAACAUAGACCGUAGCUGGAAAAGGAGAAGAUAGCUAGAAUAUUAGACAAGUGCUCCACCUGACUGCUGACUGCACACUGAACGAACAUCAUAUUUGAUAGCGCUCCCAAUCCAUAUAGAAACAUAGUCAAAAGCACUGAUUACUGCUUACUUUACUCACUCUAACUCGAAUAAUCGUUAUAAAUAUGACAGUUCUCAAUAUUACAGUUAAUAUACGAGCUUCUUUCUACUUUACAAAAAAGUAUCAUUCUUCCAAGCAAGACCGGCAUUGCAUCCUUUACUUUGACUUUAGCAUUAGGAGUGUAGUAGGCCAACACGGAUUCAUUCUCAUCCACUCGAUUCAACGCCAUAGGAAGUGGCGCAAAGGUCAUCUCCCCUAUGGAUCUCGACUCUCUUUUCUCCUUUGAAGUCAGAAGCCUCAUCUCAGUUCUCAUGCUAAGGGGCGUUGCUACUUAAUAUCUAAUAUCUAUAAGCUCUGCAUUGCUACUUAAUAUCUAAUAUCUAUAAGCUCUGCAGUCAUUGGUAAUAUCUAUAAGCUCUGCAGUCAUUGGAGAUAGAAGCGUCGGGCCCACUACAUUAUCAAAUAGAGUCUAAAGGAGGAGUAGCGUCGUUGCUGUCUAUACGAUCUCACUCAAAGUGUCUUCACCUAACCUUUUUGAUAGGCCUACUAGGUUGAACAACCAGACGAGAUACUCUACUUUCUCCGCGCAUAAAGUCUUUCUACAACACUCGAUACUUGCUUUCGAACAGAAGGAAUGGAACUGAGCUCUGAUCCGAACGAGCAACUGAAUCAUAAGUAUCAAUCUUGAUCGUAUAAAAGCAUCAGCUGGAAUGGAUUGAAGUGCGCUAAUGGAUAGAGUAGCAUUUCCUCAAUUUCUUGUUGAGCACAUGGGGCGUUUGUCAGAUUCAUUACUUAUAUACUCUCUCGAAACAAUCAAUUCAAGGCAAGCAAAUCGACUUGGUCUAACUACGUUGCUUGGACUCCGCAACUACUAUUAAGCAUUAUCCUCUAAGAAGAUCAGAAUUGGAAUGAAAGCGCUAAGAAUGGGAAUGAAAGCCAGGGCCCAACAACAAGACUAAGUAGAGAGAUAGGUUCGGUGCUAGAAGACUAAGUAGAGAGAUAGGUUCGGUGCUAGUUGAAUUCCUUGUUUUAUCUCUCGGUGAUUGGUUUGACCUUGCUUGUCGUGGAGAAUAGAAUGUUAUCAAGUAAUCCCUGUAAGCAGUUUCCAGAGGAUAAGCAGUGGAAAGUGGAGUUUCAGUUUCAAAAGAAUCAUUAGCGAGGUAUUCUAGAAGCCGGUAACUAACACACACAGUGCUCUUUAUCGAAAUACAUAAUGGAACUAACGCACACUUCAUUCAAUAGAGUUCGCGUCAGCAAGGGAAGUUUAGGUCGAAAAAGGGAUGCUAUGUAUUGACUUCAUUCUAUAUCCUAUAUCAGGUGCAAGAUCAUCAAUAAAUGUUUGACUCGGAUCAAGCAAAUCAACUUAUCGGGGUGCUUACGGAGCUCGGGGAUGUAAACCCAUCUUUGAUACUCAAUCAAGCUGUCAAUAAGGCAGGCAAUUGUCUUAGUUUAAGCCAUGUGAUACUAUGCCCCCUAAAACAUCAUUGGCAGUAAAGACCUGGAACUCGUAUUUUCCAGAAAGGAAAGGAGAGCACUUGGAAUGAAGGAUGAAGAUAAUAAGUUAAGUACUUAUAAAGAUGGGACAGGUAAUACUACUUACCAUACAAAACCCCGGGAUUUCAAAUAGCAAAGCAGACUUCCUAUGGCUCUUGGAACUCUUUCUACUAUACCUCUGUCCACUUUCAUCCGGCUCCUAUAUAUAUGGCAAUUUGCACUCUUUCUCCUCUUCUCUUGCU
rnacentral:lncRNA from 1 species